UAUUUUCGCAAACGCUAUCUAAAAGUAAGAGAUAUGUCAAUAAUAGCACAAUCGAAAAAAAUGCUAUCCCGAUCUGCUAUUAAAACGCAUUUUUCUUGUAGUGAAUGUUGCCUAAGUUCGUUCCAAAAAACCCCAGAGGUUUUAAGAACAUAAACAUGUGCUUAGCUAACAAAAAUUAUUUGCAAUUUCACUUAUAGGUGAUUCUGCCACGCAAAAAUGAAUACCAGGCGACAGUCUACAGGAUAAGUAUAAAUAUUACUGUAGCAGUUCCGAAAUAUAUUAUACUGUCUAAAAUGUAACUCUGAGAACAUAAGAAGUAACAUAGUAGCAGAGACGAUAAUCAAAGAUCAAAAUGAAAUAGAAACAUAAACCGAGCCAAAAACUUAUCCAUGUCUAAAAUGUAUUAUAGUUAUAUUAAGAAAAAGCUAAUGUAAAUUAAUGGUACCGUCCACCGAAAAAUAAUUAAACGAGAAGUCGGCCGUUAUG
rnacentral:lncRNA from 1 species